UACGUAGGUGGCAAGCGUUGUCCGGAUUUACUGGGCGUAAAGAGCGCGCAGGCGGUGCGAUCAGUCGAAUGUGAAAGCCCCCGGCUCAACUGGGGAGGGUCAUUCGAUACUGUCGGACUCGAAGGCAGGAGAGGGAAGCGGAAUUCCCGGUGUAGUGGUGAAAUGCGUAGAUAUCGGGAGGAACACCAGUGGCGAAGGCGGCUUCCUGGCCUGUUCUUGACGCUGAGGCGCGAAAGCUAGGGGAGCGAACGGG
rnacentral:rRNA from 1 species